GGUUGUGUAGUGUAGUGGUUAUCACUUUGGUUUUUGAAGUAGUUCGUCUACCAAUAACCCCAGUUCGAACCUGGGCACGACCU